UACCGAGUGAGGGCCCUCUGGGUCCACCUCCCACCCAUGUUUAUUGUACCUUGUUGCUUCGGCGGGCCCGCCUCACGGCCGCCGGGGGGCUUCUGCCCUCUGGCCCGCGCCCGCCGAAGACACCAUUGAACACUGUCUGAAGAUUGCAGUCUGAGCAAUUAGCUAAAUAAGUUAAAACUUUCAACAACGGAUCUCUUGGUUCCGGCAUCGAUGAAGAACGCAGCGAAAUGCGAUACGUAAUGUGAAUUGCAGAAUUCAGUGAAUCAUCGAGUCUUUGAACGCACAUUGCGCCCCUUGGUAUUCCGGGGGGCAUGCCUGUCCGAGCGUCAUUGCUGCCCUCAAGCACGGCUUGUGUGUUGGGCCCCGUCCUCCUUCCCGGGGGACGGGCCCGAAAGGCAGCGGCGGCACCGCGUCCGGUCCUCGAGCGUAUGGGGCUUUGUCACCCGCUCUUGUAGGCCCGGCCGGCGCUUGCCGACAACAAUCAAUCUUUUUUCAGGUUGACCUCGGAUCAGGUAGGGAUACCCGCUGAACUUAAGCAUAUC
rnacentral:rRNA from 1 species